rnacentral:lncRNA from 1 species
GCAAAUUCAUAUCCAAGCGCCACCAACUGGGACCCAAGUGGACAACAACCACAAUUUCGAGGCUGCGUUUGCGCCAAAGUCUGACCCAGAUGUGUCCUCGUCCGAUCUGUCCUCUUCGCCAUCCGAGAGCCCGGGAGGCACUUCAUCAUCCAUGAGCUCUCCAAUAAACCCCGCCGUGAGCGAAAUGAGCUGCAGUAGCCCUAAACCAACACCGUCUCCUUCCAACUCUGUCCCAACCUCACCCCAGACCAUUGGCCGCUUCCAGGUGACCCCCAG